CCCUUAGAUGUUCUGGGCCGCACGCGUGCUACACUGAGUGGAUCAGCGGGUCAGGUUGCGCGAAAGUGUUUCCUAAUCUUGAAAUCCGCUCGUGAUGGGGAUUGACGGUUGCAAUUUUCCGUCAUGAACGAGGAAUACCUUGUAAGCGCGGGUCAUCAUCCCGCGCUGAAUACGUCCCUGCCCUUUGUACACACCGCCCGUCGCUCCUACCGAUUGAGUGGUCCGGUGAGGCUUUGGGAUCUGAGCGGAAAGAGCGUUUCGCUGUUUCUACUCGGAAAACUCAGUCGAACCUUAUCGUUUAGAGGAAGGAGAAGUCGUAACA
rnacentral:rRNA from 1 species